rnacentral:lncRNA from 1 species
AUGAGUUCAAUAUCUUUGUCCCAAAGUAAAUAUUUCAGAAAGGUCCUCCUCUCCUUCAACUUGCCUACCUCUACUAUACCAUUAUCAUUUUAUUGUGAGUCACCGCUUAGUGCCACAUCCAGUUUAAUAUUCUUCUCCCCUUCUAAGCUUCUCUGCUUCUCUAUUCACCAUGAAGCCAAGAUCCCAAAGGAACAACAAUAUAAAGGACUUCAGAGAUCAUCAAGACAAGGAAUUGGACCAGAUAAUCUCUCAAGUUUAUUACAUGUCUAAAAUAUGGUAAUUUAAAAAGAAGAAAUGAAUAUCAAAAGAUCAUUUGCCAUUCUACUUGGACCUGAAAAGAGAUUUUCCUUUGACCAGUAGAUGUCACUACAGCCAUACAAAGUCAAGUUUAUUCCAGUUUACUCUUAAGUGGAACAUCUUUAAAUGCUUACACUCAUCCAUUGUGGAAAAGAUCUGUCUCUGUUGCUAGAGAAGCCCUUGAAGACAGGUGCAUUCAGAGGUCAGACCACACCAUUCAUGCUAUCCCUGAAGUGAAAGACCUGAAUACCUACUAUAUGUUCCAGACAUCUAUGGAUUCAUUGAUGUAGAUCUACCCUCCACUGAUUCAGUUUGUGAUGUCUCCCUCUUAGAGAGUGUUUUCCUGAGUUGUUAUGGAUGAAUAAUUUUGCCUUGUUCUGAAGCUUUCUGGUGCUGAGCUCUUCACAUUUAGCUUGGCUGGUUUCCAGAUCCCAGACACAUAUGCUCCAUUGCAAGACCUAUUCUUAAAGCCCUUCCCACUUGGUAGGACCUGCCAACCCCUGUGUUUUGCCCUUAUAACUUUCAAAAAUUCAGGGUCACCCUGAUGUGAUGGUAAGACAUCGGAGAAGGACUUUUGUGGAAAUUCAGAUAAAUAAUUCAGAUUCAGAUAAAUAAAAUAGAAGGUACAUUUCA